rnacentral:lncRNA from 1 species
CCUAGAGGCGGUGGCGGAAAGCAAGGAAGCAGGGGUUCGGCGAGGCCCUGCCCUACAGGGCUUGGCAGGGUUCGUGGCCGUUUGGGGUUGGUCCGAAGGGACGUCAUGUCCGUCGGGGGCGGGAUCGUCGUCACUGUCAAAGGACAUCAAGUCCUCUUCUUUGUCUGACAAAGAAGUCGUGGUCUCAACGGGCCUGGGCCCCGGCGCCAUAUUGGCCCGGGAGACUGCGUCAGAAUCACUGGCGGGUGUCAGCCCCUUACCAUCUCGGAGAGCUACCUCCCCAGCCUGUAUAGCCUGCGCCACCAGUGGAUCCCUCGCUUUAUGAGAAAUAAUAUCAUUAAUCAAAUUCCAAUAUGAGAAUGCCGCAAUAGGGACCUUCCCGGGUCCGCAAGUGGCAUAAUAAUCCUGGAGAGCUUCCCCCACCUUUUUCCAUCUCUGUUCGUCAAUGGUUCCCUCAGCAGGGAACCAGGGACAGAGAUCUUUAAUAUAAUCAAAAAAUCUUAACAACUGUUUGACUGUAACCUUUACCCCUCGUGCCUGUAAUGUCUUCUUGAGACCUUGCACAAACAAUUCGUGCUGACUAAUGCCCUGUCCCAUAAUCGCUGCUCAACUUACCGAGGUGCAAAAAGACGGCAGGUCCACGUCAAUUGCAAGCCUCUCCCGUGUCGAGUGUGCUCUUUGUUCCUCAAUCUUAAUCUUAGGGCCCCUGAGCAGCGUCCUUCACUGGAUCCCCCGUUCUCUGGCCCCACGUUGGGCGCCACUUGUCCCGGCCCGCGGGUAAGUCAACGGAGACCCUAGAGGGGGAGCGAGGAUGAGAGGGGACAGGGGACACGAGAGAUGGAGACAAGACAGGUUUCUGAUCAAGUCUCGUUUAUUGCAGAAGCUGUUACAACAUAUAUACCGUAGGGCUAGAGGGGAGGAGCAAGAGGAGGGUACUGGGGCUACUUCCUUGUUGCCGGGUAGAUUUGCAGCAGGCCCGGAUAUGUCCGUAAAAGGCACUCAAGAGUUCUAGCGGGGGGGCAAGGCCCCCCACAAAGGGGUUAGUUGUUUUUUUUGUUGUUGUUGUUGUUUUGGUACCGGGGAUCAAACUCGGGACCUUGCACUUUCUAGGCAGGCAGCGGCACUACUGAGCUAAAUCACCGCCCUGGGGUUAGUUUUUUGAGAUGAGGUCUGACCAUAUUGCAUAGUCCAGGCUAGGCUUGAACGCAUUGUGUAGCACUGGCUGGCCUCAAACACAUGGCGAUCCUCUUGCCUCAGCCACCACAGCAGGCCAGGUGACUUCUCUGGCGAGGUAUGAAGGCCCACGGUGCCCUUCGAAGCUGUGCGAGCUAGGAAGGGUGCCAGUCCUGAGGGAAACGAGAAGCCUGCCUCCCUGCUGAUGGCAGCGGUUCUCCCUCUGCCCGGGGUAGCCUGUGGGAGACUCGAUUUUCCCGAAGUCUCUAGCACAGAGGCUGGGCAGCUUCUCGGGGACCAGGACGCCCAAGCAGAGCCACAGAUGCUCAGCGGUGUUCCUCAGGUCAAGGCACCUUCUAUGACACGGGCCUUUCACACUUCGAGGCCAUGUGACUGGUUGUGUUCUGAGUGAGCUGCCAGAAAUAAUGGCGGUUGUUUUAGACGGCUGUCAGCCCCUUCUCUUGGGUCACAGGGCGGGUGGGGUGGCCGGCUGUGCAGCUCGGCUGUGUGCCACCAGCCCUGUGGCAGGCUUCUCUGGCUGCCGAUGCUGGAUGGACUGGAGUGUGGGGCAGGGGACACAGGCCGGAAAAGCUGGGGCAGCCCAGAGUCCCCAGUGUGCAGGUCUUGCUCUCCCCAGGGGGAGGGGCAGCCUACAGACCUCUCCUCCCUCAAGGCCAGGCUCGCCCGUGGGGACAGGGACCAGUCAUCUCCACCUCUGACCCCACCCGACGCCGGUAGGCACCUUCAGUGACCCCUGACUUGUGUCCCUCCAGCUGCGGAGCCGCGACGGCUCUGAGUACCUGAUCCAGCACGACUCGGAGGGCGUCAUCAGCGCCUGGCACCAGGCCAUCGGGCAGGGCAUCGAGGAGCCGGUAGGCAGAGCCCUGGCCCCUGGGGUCUCUGCCCUGCACAGCAAGCCGUGGCACCCCCAGGGGUGGCCUCUCGGGAGAGAGGGCUCUGCAGAAGGGGACAGCCUGUGGGGCAUCCCCCAUGUCAAGGGAGGCAGGAAGCAGAGCAGGUACACUCAGAACUCAGGCCAGAACGACAGGCCGAAACAGGAAGGCAAACACGGACUGAAUUCAAGUCUGCCGUUUUUAGGGUCAGAAAUACCAACUAGCUAAGCAGAGAGGGGCGGCCCCUCACAGCUCUUCCUUCUCCGGGCCCUGACCUUGGGCUCCUGGAGCCAGCUUUGGGUGUGCGGCUUUGGGCGGUAUUGGUGGAAGCAGGAAUGCAGGUGUGGGGGUGAGGGCAGUGCCGCUGUUGAUAGGAGGGUGUGCGACACUGAGGAAGGAUCAAGAAUCGGGCAGGGCCCGGGAGGGGCGAGGCAGGGCGGCCAGGAUGACAGCCAGAGCCCAGGUACCGUCCCAGCGGGGCCUGCCAGGGCUCCUGGGCGCCGCCUGCUCAGGCCACGGUUCCAGCCCGCAGAUCCGGCCCUGGGGGAGGACGUCGAGGCCAGCAGCGCUGACUUCAGGUCCAGCGAGAGGGAGGACGGCACAGGUGGGCCCAGCGGGGCAGGGUACGGGGACGCCCGGGUUGGGACCCAACACCCCGCUGACACCGGGGUCCCCACGCAGCCGCGCCCGCCCCGAGCCCCGGGACCCCCGAGAGCGACCUGAGCCGGGUGCGGCAGAAGCUGCGUAGGUUCCUGCAGAGGCGGCCGACGCUGCAGUCGCUGCGCGAGCGGGGCUACAUCAAGGGUACCAUGGGGGAGGAGGAGGGGAGGGCAGGGGAGGAGGAGGGGAGGGCAGGGGAGGGGAGGGGAGGGGAGGGCAGGGGAGGGGCGCGCCCGGCGCUGACGCCCUGUCCCCAGACCAGGUCUUCGGCUGUGCGCUGGCCACAUUGUGCGCGCGUGAGAAGAGCUCCGUGCCACGCUUCGUGCAGCAGUGCGUGCACGCCGUCGAGGCCCGGGGGCUGGACACGGACGGGCUGUACCGCAUCAGCGGGAACCUGGCCACCAUCCAGAAGCUCCGCUACCACGUGGACCACGGUGAGGCCGCCCCCCGCCGGCCUCUGACUCCCACCCCAGUGUCCCCGCUGACCCCUCCGCUCCCGCAGAUGAGCGCCUGGACCUGGAUGACGGCCGCUGGACUGACGUCCACGUGCUCACCGGCGCGCUCAAGCUCUUCCUGCGCGAGCUGCCUGAGCCGCUCUUCCCCUUCUCGCACUUCAGCCAGUUCCUCGCAGCCAUCAAGCUGCAGGACCCAGCCCGGCGCCGCUGCGUGCGGGACCUGGUGCGCUCGCUGCCCACUCCGAACCAUGACACUCUGCAGCUGCUGUUCCAGCACCUGCGCCGGGUGGUGGAACAGGGGGAGCAGAACCGCAUGUCAGUGCAGAGUGUGGCCAUCGUGUUCGGGCCCACUCUGCUGCGGCCCGAGACAGAGGAGGGCAGCAUGCCCAUGACCAUGGUGUUCCAGAACCAGGUGGUGGAGCUCAUCCUGCAGCAGUGCGCAGACAUCUUCCCGCCACCCUGAUGGCUGCCACCCACCCUUGUUGCCGCGGGUACGGCGACCUGAAGUGGGGCUUUCUCUGGGGCGUCCUCGGUGGGUGCCAGGGUAGGGGGAGCUUUUGUCUGGAGGGGGAUUCGGUGAGGGUGUUUCCUGGCUCCUUCAGGGAGGCGCCUGGCCAGAGCCCUGUGCAGGUAACCAGGAAGAGCCUGACAGGACCAUGUGACCUCCAGUCUAAGCCUCCCUGGCCCAGGAUGAAGAACUGGCUUCAUCUGCCUUCCUGUCUGUGGAUCCACAUCGGGAUCCAGUCAGUCCACUGUGUCCUGGGCAAGGUUUUUUCACACCCAUGAGCUGCGAGCCCUGGGCCUGCUAUAGAGGAGCUCUGUCAAUACAGAGCCCUGAUGCAGGAAGGAAACCAGCUCUCAAGGCCUCCCUCACCAGGGUGCGGGCUCCAGGGAGGGGACCUGGCCUCUGCCCCCCUUUCCAGCGUGGGCCAGAGAGCAGCCUGCCCCCUGUUCUGGGGGAGGAGCACGUGGCAGGGCCCUCACGCCCCUCUGCCAAGCUGGCCACUGGGGCCUACCUUGCCACAGCGCUGGGAGGGGCCUGGGGGGGACAGCCUCCGGAAAGGAGGGGUGCACCUGCCUAUCCUCAUGCACAAACCGCGGAGGCUGUGGAUCUCAGGCCCCGCCUCCCCCUUCAUGGCUCAGUGAACAAUAGUAGCUCAUUGCAUUGAGCAUCCACACCAGGCCACGCAUCCUGCCCCAGUUACCUUUGUGUCCCUUGCAGUCGGUAUUUAUUGUGUUCUUGUGUGCCAGGCACAUGCUGUCUGCCCCAUGGAGCUGGGGUCCAGGCAAGAGAUGGAGACCUCCUACCAUGCAUCUAAAUAUUUAAAAGAUGCAAAUCAAGCCAAGAACUGUGAAAUAAAAUAUGCUCUAUUCUCCUACUUUAGCAAGGGUGCUUUGAUGACAGUUGGGAAGGCCAGGGUCUAAUUUAAGCAUCUGUGACUCUUCUGAGGUCCCUAAGAAUGUGGUGGGGUGAGAAGCGAAGGCCUUCAGCCUGCCCCUCCCUCUGCCCACAGUGGAGCACAGAACAGGCUCUGUGCAGACAGGGGCGCUGCAACCCACUGGU